AAGAGGUGUUACAGUUGCAGCGAAAUUGUGUUUAUGAAGUUCAGUGGAAAUUAUCAGUUUGUAAAAUGGAUAAGGAAAAUGCACCGUACAUUGAGGUACUGGAGCAGCCGGCAAGUAAAGAGUUUCGAUUUCGUUAUGAGUGCGAACGAAGGUCACAUGGAAGUUUACCGGGUGUACACAGUACUGUAUGGAAAAAGACAUAUCCGAAGAUAAAGAUUGUUGGACUCAAUACAGACGCUCACCUCAUCAUUUCUUGUGUGAGCAAAGAGGCACCCUACAAAGUUCACCCUCACCGCAUCGUCAGUAAAGGAAAGGGAACGAAUAACGGAGUUUUUGUAACCACAGUGGGACCCGACGAAAACGAAAUUGAAUUAAAAAAUCUUGGGAUUCAAUGCGUCAGAAAAAAGGAUAUUAAAAAAUCCCUGGAGGAAAGAAAAAAAGUCCGGGUGGAUCCAUUCCAACAGGGCUAUGAUCAUGGCGACCACCCAACAUCAAUUGACCUAAACGUAGUGCGACUGUGUUUUCAAGUAUUUCUCUUUGAUCAUACCACUGAAAAAUACACGAAAAAACUCACUCCAGUCGUAUCUGACCCAAUUUAUGAUAAACAAACAGCUGUUAAUCUAAGUAUAUCUAAAUUGAGUACUGAAGUUGCGUCAGUCGCUGGAGGAACGUCAUUAGUGAUAUUCGGCCAGAAAAUAAUCAAAGAAGACGUUAAGGUUCGUUUUUUCGAGACGCAGGAAGAUAAAGUCAUUUGGGAAGCCAGUGAGGAUUCGCUUCCAAGGAAUAAUUAUGAUAAUCAGAUGUCAAUUACCGUAAAAACUCCCGCCUACCCUACCAAAGACACCGGCGAGCCAGUCCAGCUGAUGAUACAACUCACGAAGCCAUCGACUGGUGAAGCUGGCAAAGCAAUCCCCUUCACAUUUCUAUCUCCAGCAUCCUUCAACGACGCAGUGAAUACACCAAUGGAUCUUUCAUCAAAGAGAAAAAGGUCGGAAUUCCGCGACUUGUUUGAGCCUUCCGAGAUCCCCACGUGUGACCGACUACAGGCUCCGAACCAACCGGAGUUUCCAAAUCCGAAUGAUCUAGGCAAUAUUACCCGAAUGCAAGACACAGAAUCACUCGAUGAUUCACCGAAUAUUCCUCAAGACGGACAGGAAAAUUUCUAUUACAAUCGGAAUUCGAACACCGAAGGCUAUACGACGCAUCUACCCAAAAAACCAAAGUACUCGGAGCGUCUACCGUUUUCAAGAGCUCAAGCGCUUCCACUCCAUCCAGUGUAUCCUCCACUUCUGAUGAAUCCUAACGCACCUCCAGUGAUGGUCAACAAUCUGAUAUACGACUGCCAGUGCUACCCACCAAUGCUACCUCGUUACAAUCCAUUCGUUCCUUUUAUGCCUCCAACCUCUCCCUACAUAUACCAGUAUCCUUUUUUUGGAAACGGCCUGCCCAACGUCCAGGACAGACCUCAAGUACUCAUUGAUGAUCACCCACAUUGGCACGUGCAGCCUGCGCCCACGUGGAGCCCCCUCGUUGUUAAAAUGUCCACUCCAAGGAUCAGCUCAAUGUGAGCAGAGGUGUAGUGAAUCUCAGCUUGGAUAGAUACAUCAGUUCCCUUUUGGAUUCUUUUAGUGAUAUUUAGCUCUUUGACGGAAAUAGUAUUUUAUUAAUCUGUGAUAAUCAACGCGAUGAGCACGUACGAAUUUUGAUUAGGGAUAUUGAUUAGAAGGAGUUUACUCAAGAUGUUCAAGCGAAACGUUUUUAUGAAUUAUGUUUCCGAUGAAGUCCGCUAUGAGUGAAGCGGAUUUUAUGUCUGGAUUAUUCUGAUAGAGCGAAGUUAAAACUGAGAAGUUGCUGCAUAAAAAAUUACUGUCAUUGUUAGAUAAAAAUUCUUGAUUUUUAAGGGAUAGUGGUCCCUAGUGUAAACCUUUUAUGAAUUGUAACUCUUAUUUUCCAAUGAACGGUCUAGCUUAUAACAUGGAGAACACGUUUGACAAGAACCAAACCGUAAUCGAUUUCCAUUUGUUCAUUAAUACAAAAAAUGAAAACAAAGAGAACUCUUGGUCUGAAGAUUGCUCGAAAAAUUCCAGAAGUCUCGGGGCAAUGGAAGUAACGGCAAUAUCGAAGAGUAUCUGUCACUAGUCUGUGAUAAUUUGGUUACUUUUCUCAAGAUUUCGACGCAACAGAACUGUACACAAACGUAAAGUAACACGGUUUCAACGACCAGCGAAUUAUUUACAAGAUUUCAUUCACAAAGCUUUCCUUGAAUGUGAUAUUUUAUUCUUUUGAUUGUAUAAUGAUGUAUAAUAUUGUGUUUAUUGUUAUAAAUGAAAUGUAUGUUGUUAAUAGUUUUCUCUCGCAGUAUAUAAAUGACGCACGUGUAAGCAUUUAUGUACUCCAAAUAAAGGAAAUAUAGUCUUUUUUUG